rnacentral:miRNA from 2 species
AACCCGUAGAUCCGAACUUGCGG